rnacentral:rRNA from 1 species
AUGCAAGUCGAGGGGAAACGGCAUUAAGUGCUUGCACUUUUUGGACGUCGACCGGCGCACGGGUGAGUAACGCGUAUCCAACCUUCCCAUGACUAAGGGAUAACCUGCCGAAAGGCAGACUAAUACCUUAUGGUCUUCACUGACGGCAUCAGAUGUGAAGUAAAGAUUUAUCGGUUAUGGAUGGGGAUGCGUCUGAUUAGUUAGUUGGCGGGGUAACGGCCCACCAAGGCAACGAUCAGUAGGGGUUCUGAGAGGAAGGUCCCCCACAUUGGAACUGAGACACGGUCCAAACUCCUACGGGAGGCAGCAGUGAGGAAUAUUGGUCAAUGGGCGAGAGCCUGAACCAGCCAAGUAGCGUGCAGGAUGACGGCCCUAUGGGUUGUAAACUGCUUUUGUAUGGGGAUAAAGUCAAUCACGUGUGAUUGUUUGCAGGUACCAUACGAAUAAGGACCGGCUAAUUCCGUGCCAGCAGCCGCGGUAAUACGGAAGGUCCGGGCGUUAUCCGGAUUUAUUGGGUUUAAAGGGAGCGUAGGCUGGAGAUUAAGUGUGUUGUGAAAUGUAGACGCUCGACGUCUGACUUGCAGCGCAUACUGGUUUCCUUGAGUACGCACAACGUUGGCGGAAUUCGUCGUGUAGCGGUGAAAUGCUUAGAUAUGACGAAGAACUCCGAUUGCGAAGGCAGCUGACGGGAGCGCAACUGACGCUGAAGCUCGAAGGUGCGGGUAUCGAACAGGAUUAGAUACCCUGGUAGUCCGCACAGUAAACGAUGGAUGCCCGCUGUUGGUACCUGGUAUCAGCGGAUAAGCGAAAGCACUAAGCAUCCCA